rnacentral:tRNA from 2 species
GGGCGAUUAGUUAAGUGGCAUAAUGGUGGUCUCCAAAACCACGGUCGGGAGUUCGAUUCUCUCAUCGCCCGCAA